GACGUAGGGGGCCAGCGUUGCUCGGAAUUACUGGGCGUAAAGGGUUCGUAGGCGGUGCGGUAAGUCGGAAGUGAAAUCUCUGGGCUUAACUCAGAGGCUGCUUUCGAAACUGCCGUGCUAGAGUGCGGGAGAGGCCAGUGGAAUUGCAGGUGUAGCGGUGAAAUGCGUAGAUAUCUGCAGGAACACCCGUGGCGAAGGCGGCUGGCUGGACCGCAACUGACGCUGAGGAACGAAAGCUAGGGGAGCAAACAGG
rnacentral:rRNA from 1 species